AGGAGCAGGACGGAGAGCUUCAGCGUGUGUGAUAAACUGGGCUGCUCUCCUCCUCUCUGUCAGAUCGCGCUCUGCAUCACACCAUUUCACAUGAUGACCGACUCUGCUUACGAGCACAGAAACCUUCAGCUCUGGCUAUUUGCUUCCAACAUGCCUUUAUCUGCUUUCUUUUCCCCCCGGUUUAUCUUGAAUAAUUUUGAGUGAUGCAACACUGUAAGCGGAAAUGAUUUAUGUCGCAUCCUACAGCAUCAAGGUGCGCAAAGCGAGCGGAACAUUUGAUGGUUUUGGAAGGACGCUCUUCUGCACCGACUGCCUUGUGGACAUUUCCCCAAACUGGAUUUAUGGACACUUAUUAUCUCGGGGGAUGAAAACCUAUUAUGUAUAUCCUACUUCGCAAGGUGUAUUUGUCGCAUAUAACAGUUGACUGUAGAUUCAUUAAGGCGCCACUGUAUCAAAUGAUGACAGGCUAUAUUAAUAGGUUCUUUGAUCUUCAGACUGAAUGGACGUCACUAAAUGGAUCGCCUAAUUAAAAUCCUAUUUGCGUGGAAUGUUCCUUUCUGUGUAAGGUGCAAGGUUGUCUUUGACAAAUGGUGCCCUCCACUUUUUCCCAAUAUUUAGUUUACCCCUCCUGAUGCGCUUUCAACUGCCCCCACCCCGUCCGACCCCCCACAAGAGGCGGCGGUGUCUCUGGUUUAGUCUCAUAGUUUCCCCCUUCUUUCUUACCUCUGCUGCAUUUUGCAUGAGCUAUAUAGGUCAUUAGCAUUUUAGCGUAUGCAAGACUUGACAAAGCUGGUGAGGAGCCAGAUGGGCCCUCUACUAUUUUUAUUUUUUUUUUAUCUCAUGGGAGUUGAGCAAGGGACCAACUGCAGCAAGCCACUGAGCGCUUCUUUUUAUUGCCAUCACUCGGGCCUUAUGUUGCACCAACACAUGAUGGAGAGAUGCGCACCGUCCUGUGGAAAUAACGCAUUCGAAAAAAUAGGUAACGUAAUAAAUGAGAACGCUUGCUUGAAUUAUGAUGUGAUGCACAGAUGCUUUUAAGGAUGCAUGAUGCUCUGUGCAAUGUUGGAUGCUGAUGAUACACCAGUCAGAGAAGGACGUAGACAUUUUGGUGCAACAUCUUUGCUGUAGCUUAGUUGUGCGAUUCAGAACACUGUAGUUGCAAACAGGCCUGCUUUUCUUCGUGUUCACAGCGGACCUUGAUUUAAAUGUCCAUACAAUUAAGGCACGCGGUGAAUGCCAAGAGAGAUGGCAAAUAUCAUCGAGGAUUGUUUUUAUAACAGCAUAGCGCAUAUAGUCCUGGGUUCGCGAUGCAUGACAGUUCUUAUUUUUCUUUCGGUCGGUUUUUGCUAGGAGCGCGUGUGUGGAUGCAAGCCGAAGCAUUAAUGCGGCCAAACUGAUUUUUAAUAUUUCAUUGCGUUCUUCCAUAAUUUUGUGCUACGCAAAAGAGCGUAUCAUGGAAUGUUGUUAAGUGUCACUGUACGUUUAUGAGUUUAAAGUUCUAACAAUUACCCUGAGGUCUGAUGUAUUUUGUCAUUUACUGUCUAUUCAUAGGACGAUUACAAUCUAGAAAUAGUCUCAUUUGCAGAUCUGUUUGGGGAUACGAUGUCUUCAGGAGAAGAUGAAGAAUAAUAUCUACAGAAAAGUUGUGAGGCCUACGGUGACAGCCAAAUUAAACAGAACGCACUGAUACUUUACAUUUCUGAACGUUCAGGACGAUAGCAGUUUGGUCCUCAAAAAUUACACUUGUCAUGUUUCCUCAAUAAGGACACUGAAAAUAUUGAACAUGUACCUUUGUAUUAUAUUUAUGAUUGUGUAAAUGAUUUUAGCUUGCCAAUAAAGUCAAAUAUACACUAA